CUGUGAUUGGUUGAUUAUGACAAUGACAAAAGAAUAAGCUAUAGAAUGGAUUUUCUAAAGAACGAAGCAAGAACAAUAUUCCUUUUGUUUAUGUAAGCCAAUUACGUCUUUUAUCAUUGUCAUAGUCAACCAGUCACAGAACAUCUUCCUAGAGCUUCGUGUUUACUGUCUGAUUUCAUCGCCAGUGGGGGUCACAGAACACCCAAAAUAAAUUGACUACUGAGUUAUCCUUCCGCCUACAAAAAUAC